rnacentral:lncRNA from 1 species
UAGGGAUCUAUGGGGUGCUAUGGGGAUCUAUGGGGUCUCUAUGGGUCUCUAUGAGGAUCUAUGGGGCUCUGUUGGGAUCUGUGGGUCUCUAUGGGGAUCUGUGGGUCUCUAUGGGGUUUCUAUGGGGCUCUGUGGGGAUCUAUGGGGUUUCUAUGAGGAUCUGUAGGUCCCUAUGGGGUUUCUAUGGGUUACUAUGGGGUCACUAUGGGGAUCUAUGGGGUUUCUAUGGGGCUCUAUGGGGUCUCUAUGGGUCUCUAUGGGGUUCUAUGGGGUUCUAUGGGGUCUCUAUGGGGUCUAUGGGUCUCUAUGGGUCGCUAUGG